rnacentral:lncRNA from 1 species
ACUCGGGUCUUCACUGAUGACCUCCUUGUCCUACACUGGUUCCAUGUAGUUGCAUGAGAUUGAUCCCAUCUCUAGGUCUGAAGGCCAUGUGAUAGACCCUGUCUAAUCAACUCCAAACAGUCCUGAGUUUAUUUGUUUGCUUUAUUUACCAAAAGAAAGAAAGAAAGAAAGAAAACAGGAAAUGAUUGUUUUUCUUCUGGAGUUCUUGAGAGGAUAGGAUGUACUACUGGUGCUCUGGCAGCCAUAUUGCUACCAUGAAGAAAGAGCCUGUGCACAAAUAAAACCCCACACAGAGUAUAUCAGCCAUACAGGAUAGGAAGUGCCAUGAUGUUCUCCUCCAUCCAGCUGGACACCCGUGACUCAGAUGAAUGACAAAUUUCCUUUUUUGCUUUUUGAAACCAGUUUGAAAUGGGGCUCUAUUACUUGGAGCCCUACACCUUAAUCUUAAAUGAUAUAAAUUAAGAAGCUGAGGAGCAUUUCCAUUACUUGCCCAAAGUCCCACAGGUAGCAGGGAAUAGCAUUUAAACCCAGGAAACCUACUCCCAGGGUCUUACGUCUGCGUUACCUCUAAGACUAGGGUAGGAAUGGAGACGAGUAGAUGAGUUGAGAGAUGUUGGGCAGUGGAACUAUGGCACCGGAAGACAGGCUGACUGUGGUAAACAAAGGGGAAUGACUUAUGUGACAGGGAGAUGAUGGAGUCACAGAGAAAGAAAAUACCAAAUGGAGAAUGUAUUCAGAGGGUGGAGAAGAAUUGGGGGUGACAAGUUGUUUCUGGAUGUUUUGAAUCUGAAGUGCCCGUGGGCCACACAAAUAGAGUUGCUAGGAUCGCUAGAGAGCAGAAAGUUCUGGGCUAAGCCAGGCAGGAUGGCUCAAGUCUGUAACCUCAGCAACUUGGGAGGCUGAGGCAGGAGGAUCACAAGUUCAAGGCCAACCUGGGCAAUUUAGCAAGACACUGUUUCAAAAUAA